rnacentral:misc_RNA from 1 species
UUUGAGUACUCUGAUGUCCAGAAGGAAUUAGUUCUGUUUGGAAUUGCUGAUGACCACUCCUUCAUGUCCUCAGCUACAGUCAAAGCACAGUUUGCUCCAGACAGACCCAUCUCUAAAAGAAAGACAGUAAAGAACAAGAAAUACACAGGAACGUCCUCAGAUUCAGAUGACUCAACAGUGAAGCAUGCAGCUCAGACACCCAAGAAAUGCCAGAGGAGAAAAGAUCAGAACCAGCCAGUAAAUGGUCAGAGCAGCUCUAUGAGUAUUCAAUCAAGCAACCAAGUGGAGCUCAUACCAAACCUGAAGGGGCUAUACUCAAUAUGUGUGGCAAAACUACCCCAAGAACUUGAAACGAAUGUCCAAGAACUGUUCAGUGAAGUUGCAUCACCACAUGAAUGCAGUCGAGGAGGCAUCUCAUGACAUCAGAGCAGUAUCUAUCUCCCGGGCCUACCUUCGGGGUGCUCCAUUUUCAGACAUAUGCAAAGCAGCUUGCUUUAAAUCACCCACUACCUUUAACUCAUUGCAUGACGUCUGGCAAGCGGACUGUGUUCAUGGCAAGACAAUACUCAAAUCAGAAGAGAUUCCUCAUCAGGACAGACUGCUACCAAGUCAUUUUGACAGCAUCUCAUGCUUGUCCCAGAAGUAAAUGAUAGAAUUCUUUUCAACAACAUCCUAGUAUGCCUCUUCUGCUGAAUCCAAUAAUGGAGGAAUAAAAAAAUGAAGGAGAAAUGAAGUGGACUGAUGGGAAAUACAGGCACGUUGGACUUGGCUGAUGCCCACACUUCCCAGCAUCUUCAUGAAGCUAGAUAUUUCUUAGUGGUCGAUUAGGCUUUUGCUGGCAUGAGUAUCGACGGGAGGCUGAUGGAUGCCAAGGACCUUUGAGCCGAGGUCAUCGAGGGAAGCAGCCAGGUUACUCCAAAUUUCUGAAGGGAAAACAAGCAACAGCCAACAGUACAAUUUACGACAGAUGCACAAAAAGCGUCUAUUUACAUUUAAUAAAACAAGUUUGGCUAAUUGACAAAAUAAAUAGGAAUGGUUUGUAGCAACUCUCCAAAUACUGACUGAUUCAGUGUCAAACACCGAAGGUGGCCACGAAAAACCCCCUGUGGGGGAAACGUGGGUGUAUCUGGGGUGCACUCCCCCGGUACUGAAUCGGUUUGGGAACUUAAUUUUGGGGAUAUGGGGUGGGGGAUUCGUGUAACAGCGAGGUUGACUGCUUGACUAAGAAUGAGCUGGAAGCCCACGCUUCGCUAAAUAUACAUAGGAUGAUUACGUAAUAAAGAAUGUGGGUUAUUCUGGAGUGUGCAGUAGGCUCGCACCUGUCAUGCGAAAACAAAAAGAAAUUCCACGCUUUGAUGCGAAACAUGUUCAAAGUAUUUUUAAUCAGCAAUUGUUUCCAAGCUUCCUGCAAUAAUGCAAGAUCCUAAGCAUCCCCUUUACGCUUCAGUGGUUGUCAACAGAUCCUGAAGAAUCCGCACCCCAGGCACCAAUACAAACGUUUUAUAAUGUCUUUUUUGCUUAAUGCUUGCCACAUGUUUAUUUAAACGAUAAACCCCGCACGUUCCUGAUUAGUGAUGUCCACCCCGAUGCAUGAAAACAGUUGUUAUCUGUUUAAUCUUUGCUUUUAUGAAUGUCGGUUUAUAUUCGUUGUAUUAAAUAAAUGGAAAUUCAUUUUUUAAUGCUAUUUACUAUAUGUAUAACUUUUAUGUAUAAUGCACACAGGAAACAAAUUUUCAUGGUUUUCUAAUGUGACGAUGUAAUAAAUGUAAUGAAAUGAAGUUGGACAACAGAACAUGA